rnacentral:lncRNA from 1 species
AUUAUAAAAGGAGGUACUUGCUAAAUGGGACCUGGUAUGGCUGUUCCUUGGAGGAUUGGACCGCAGCUGACCAAUGCAGAUGUGGAUGCUUGGAGCCAACAAUCAGAUCAGGCUCAGGGACCCCUGUAGGGGAGCAGCCUGAAGGACUGGAGGUGCAGAGGGGGAUUGCAAGCCCAUAGGAAGAACAACAUCUGCUGGCCAGACCACCCAGAGCUCCCAGAAACUAGACCACUAACCAAGGAGUGUACAGGAAGGGAUCCGUGUCUCCACAUAGGAGGGAAAGCUAGAAUAUCUCAGUUGCCAUGGGAACAGGGAACAGGUAGCCAACUAAUGGCAUGAUCAUCAAAUGGAACUGAGAAACAGAUAGAGAGGCAAGUAGUAGGGACAGUAACAACCUUAAAGAUCUGUGCCUGUAACUCUGCUUUCACCAGGACACUUUCUUCCUACGGGGCUACCUUGUCUAGCCUCAAUAGGAGAAGAUGUGCUUUGUCUUACUGCGACUUGAUAUGCCAAGGAAAGGGUAGAAUAGAAGAUGGAACAUCCUGGAAGCAGAAAGAAUCCUGGGAUGGGGCUAGGCAUGGGAUGCUUGCCCACGAAGAUGUGAGGAGAGAGACCCAUGGUACCUGAGCAUGGAUAACCAGCCAUAUAGCAGAAUGCUACAGAGAGGGGAAGAAUGAAAACCAUCAGAAACCCAGUGGUGCCAAUGGCCAGCCAGAGAACGAGCCCUGCCUGUGGCUCUCCUUCAGGACUCUGUGGGAUCUGGAGCUCCACACGUACUACCCUAGAACUCACUCUUCCCUACAGGAAUAAUUAGUCGUGUCAAGAUGACUACUCUGUGACAACGUGAUUUCAAUGAGGAAAAGUUGAAGAAUAAACUAUAAUUAUUUGGACAGUCACUUGAUCAGGUUUUCUUUUUCCUUGUCACAUUUUAAAUGAUUUGCGAAGCUCUAUGUGGGUGUCUGCUGAAGAGGGCCUGGGGCGGACGAAAAGUGUUUUAAUGUGAUAUCAUGACUUUAGACUGCAUACUUAAAGGGAUGUGUGGCACAUCGCAGAUGUCCAACACAUUUAUAUUGAAUGAUGAAGCCUUGCAAAUAGAGAGCUGAAGAACAUGGAUAAGCAGAGGCCCUGCUGAUGAAGAUCUGUCCUUUAGAUCCCUUUUCUUCUGGAUACAUCCUUUCUCCCUCUGGCACAAACUCAUCAACUGUGAAGGGACCCAUCUGUACCAUUGCGAGAAGCAGUUCCCCAGAGAGCUGGGAGUUGUAACUAGCUGUAGGCUUCCUCUGUGGGUGCUAGCCGACUCAAGAUUCUCAUUGCUCUGUCCCAGGAAUAUAUCCACAGGAUAGCCUUCAUGUACAAUAGCUGAGGCAGAGACCAGACAGGAGGCAUUAAAAAUUAAACAACAGAAGUGUCAAUUGGCUUCCAAUCUC